rnacentral:rRNA from 1 species
AUGCAGUCGACGAUGAAGACCGUGCUUGCACGGUUGGAUUAGUGGCGAACGGGUGAGUAUCACGUGAGUAACCUUCCCUUAACUCUGGGAUAAGCCCGGGAAACUGGGUCUAAUACCGGAUACGACCAGUCCUCGCAUGGGGUGCUGGUGGAAAGAUUUAUCGGUUUUGGAUGGACUCGCGGCCUAUCAGCUUGUUGGUGAGGUAAAGGCUCACCAAGGCGAUGACGGGUAGCCGGCCUGAGAGGGUGACCGGCCACACUGGGACUGAGACACGGCCCAGACUCCUACGGGAGGCAGCAGUGGGGAAUAUUGCACAAUGGGCGAAAGCCUGAUGCAGCGACGCCGCGUGCGGGAUGACGGCCUUCGGGUUGUAAACCGCUUUCAGCAGGGAAGAAGCGAAAGUGACGGUACCUGCAGAAGAAGCGCCGGCUAACUACGUGCCAGCAGCCGCGGUAAUACGUAGGGCGCGAGCGUUAUCCGGAAUUAUUGGGCGUAAAGAGCUCGUAGGCGGUUUGUCACGUCUGCUGUGAAAGCCCGGGGCUCAACCCCGGGUGUGCAGUGGGUACGGGCAGACUAGAGUGCAGUAGGGGAGACUGGAAUUCCUGGUGUAGCGGUGAAAUGCGCAGAUAUCAGGAGGAACACCGAUGGCGAAGGCAGGUCUCUGGGCUGUUACUGACGCUG